CGCAUGUUCUUCUCGUCCAUUUCCUUUUGGAACUCGAAGGUGGGAGGUCGGUUUGUAACGCAGUUCUCGGUUUGCAAUCGUUGCUUCAUACUCGCGUAAAUGUUUCAAUUAAUUACGACAAAACGAAUUUACAUAUUCGAUAAGAUUGUUAAAUCGCUUUUAUUCCGCGAUACGUUAAAUUUUUGUCACAACGUAAUUCGAGAAAAUGGCUGAAUCAAUAAAGAGUGAGUACGCAAGCCACGUGGCGAAGCAACUUACCGAAGAAGAAAUUGUAAAGAUGCAGGCGCAAAAUUCGCGAUUAGUUUCCGAAUUUCGAGCCAAUCAGUUGGAAAAAGACGCGAAAAAACAUUGGGACUUAUUUUACAAACGAAACGAUACAAGAUUCUUUAAGGACAGACAUUGGACUACCAGAGAAUUUAACGAAUUAUUGGAUUUGAGUACGAAAAAUGAACAAAAUGUUCUUUUUGAAGUCGGUUGCGGUGUUGGAAAUUUUAUAUAUCCCUUGAUCGAGGAUGGAUUGAAAUUUAAAAUGAUAUUCGCGUGUGAUCUCUCUUCUAGAGCCGUGGAACUAACAAAGAAUCAUUCGUUGUACGAUCCAGAGAACAUGAAAAUUUUUCAAACGGAUAUUACAACAGAAAAUUGUUUUUUGGAGGUGGACUGUCCGGUCAACAUUGCAACGUUAAUAUUCGUUUUAUCGGCUAUUCAUCCGAAAAAGUUCAGAAAAGUCGUGGAGAAUUUAUAUAACGUUCUCGAUAAAGGAGGAAUCGUGCUUUUUAGAGAUUAUGGUUUAUACGAUAUGGCUCAACUAAGAUUUAAACCUGGUCACAAGAUUAGUGAAAACCUUUAUAUGAGACAGGAUGGUACCAGGACAUAUUAUUUUUCAGAGAAAGAAGUGUCAAACUUAUUUCAAUCGGUUGGCUUUGAAGUACUAACGUGUAACUACGUACAAAGACGAACUGUAAAUUUCAAAGAAAAGAUCGACGUACCUAGAAUUUUUGUUCAAGGAAAAUUUAUAAAAUUCUAGUAAUAAUGAAAAAGUUUCAUGGAUCAGUGAAUUGAAGUAUUAUUGCAGCUUUAAUUAAAAGCUAAGCACUGGAUUUAAAACUAUAAUAAUAGUUAAAGGAUGCUGGUACAAGAAGAACUGAAUAUUUUAAAUACGAAAAACUAAAUAUAAAUCUUCAAUCAUAGGUAAAUAACUAUUUCAUUUUAAAAAAUCAAACAUUAUUGAUAAAAAAAUAUUUAAAUUAUUUUAUUACAAUGAUGUAAAACAUUUGCAAUGAUUCGAUGAUUACAUUCCAUUAGCUCUAUCUGAAAGUUAAAUUUCUUUUUCUAUUCACAAAAUAGAAAAAGAUAACUGGUAAACAACGCAUUUUUAUAUUCCAGGUUAUAAAGAAGAAUUUUACCAUAUGAAAUGUGUAAUAUUUGCAAAAUAUAUUUUAUUAAUAUAGUAUAAUUUAUAAUAAAUAAAAUUUGUAAUUUCUAAUAAAUAAAAUUUAACACAAUUU